UACGGGGGGGGCAAGCGUUGUUCGGAUUUACUGGGCGUAAAGGGCGCGUAGGCGGCCAGCGCAAGUCAGUUGUGAAAUCUCCGAGCUUAACUCGGAAAGGUCAACUGAUACUGCGCGGCUAGAGUGCAGAAGGGGCAACUGGAAUUCUCGGUGUAGCGGUGAAAUGCGUAGAUAUCGAGAGGAACACCUGCGGCGAAGGCGGGUUGCUGGGCUGACACUGACGCUGAUGCGCGAAAGCCAGGGGAGCGAACGGG
rnacentral:rRNA from 1 species